CUUGUACAAACAUUCUUUUUCUUGGGGAUUGAAAUUGUCGGGAUUAGAGCCCUUGACUAACUACAUUAUGAGGUAGGCAUUUCACCACUUACCUAUUAGCCAAUGUCCAGACUUUUCAUUUUAUAGUUACCAGAAAUGUGAACUUUAGCUGCCAAGUUCACACCUUCAUAAACAAAUAGUCACCCCUGAAUCAGAACUGACACGGCCAAAUAUAUCAGAUACCAUUACCAAAAUAAUUCUUCAGAGCAGGUAUAGAUUUGAUCUUCCCAUCAUCUGCAAAACGGCGAUUAAGAUAGUCACUGUAAUCAAAAGGCUUAUACAGCAAGGGGUGGUCUUCGUCCACUAGCUCUUCCAAGGCUUUUAUUAUGUAGCCUUCCUUUGGGACUGAAAAGAACGCAGCAGAGUACCUUGUCUUGCUUCCACUCAGCAUAACUCGAUGGUAUGGGCUAUACAGUCGACCAUUUGUCCAAGCCUGCAAUAUGUAGAUUAUACCC
rnacentral:misc_RNA from 1 species